AGACACAUACACAUAACACAUAUUUCAUAGAGAACAAAUCAUAUCUAUGAGAUAGAAUAAAGUUGUGACAACCCGAAAUUUCUGUUCUAAAUCAAACCAUAUCAAACCAAUAGAAGUAGAGCAGUUACAGUAAAAAUUCAAACUUAUGGAAUAAGUUUGGUAGUUUUAGGGUUUUGCACCUAAGAAGUUAUUAGGAGAGUGGAUGCACUAGGAUUUUGUGCAACACUGUAAUUCCAUUUCUCUAAGUCAUUAGAAUCCAUUUCGAGAAUAGAAAUAUUUUCUGCCAAAAAUCUCAGGAUUAUAAAUAGAAUUCUGAACCAAAUUGGUUCAUUAUUUGAUUUCCAAUUAGAGAAAAGCCAAAUACUCUCUCACGGAUCUUCGGGUUUUCAUCCCAGAUUGUGAGUCUACUUCCUAAAUGUGUUUUAAUGCUUGUAUUAUGCUUUAUAACACUGUUUACUUGCCCAAAACACAAGAUCCGGGAGUUUACCGCCCAAGAACGUUCUUGGGGAGUAAACUCCAAAAUGAAGCUUUAAGGCCACCUAGUCCCAUUUCCGUGUUAGGCAUCUAACUAAGGACUUAGUGUAUGAUUAUUAGAGGCUAGAAACAAAUCAAAACCACUUAGUUUGAGGAGUUUACGGCCAAGGAACCACCUCUUGGGCCGUAAACUCCAAGUAAAGGGCACAAAUGAGUGCCUAGUGUUCCUUUAGCCUUAGAGCAAGAACCUAGAAGCCUUAAACUCAUAUCAUAGACCAACAAAACAAUUAGAAACCCACUUUGGAAGGGAGUUUACGACCAAGAUGCUCCUUAGGCCGUAAACUCCAAGAUUUAGGGCCAAAACCCCUUCAAAAUCUUCCUAGGGCUUAGUAUUCAUUUUAGGCAAAUACCUUAAAGUGUUUAUGACCAAGGGAACUCAUGAAAAGCAUAAGUGUUGAAGAGUUUACGGCCAAGAGUAUUUCUUGGGCCGUAAACUCCUUUAAAGGGGUCAAAGGACACCCUAGACACUUCCUUAGGCCAAGAGACUUUUAGGGCAAGUACCUAGAUGAGUUUUGGGCUAGUUAAAAUUCUUAGAACCUCAUGUGUGAGGGAGUUUACGGCCCAAAGAGUUCUAUGGCCGUAAACUCCAUCAAAUGGUUCCAUUUAAUGCCAUAAACCUCCCUUGAUCCAAGUAUUGAAGCCUAGACUUGUUCCUAGAAAUGUUAGAGACUUGAAAGGACAAUAAGAACCCUCCCAAGGGAGUUUACGGCCAUAAACUCCAAGGGAAAAGGGUCUUUGGGCCGUAAACUCCCCAAAGGAGUCAAUGUGGUGCCCAAACACUUGUAUAGGCCUUGAAACAAUUCCCACUAGAGUUGUAGUAAUUCAAAGUACCAUUCCAAGCCUUGAUUUAGAGUUUACGGCCAGGAGCUUACUCCCCUGGGCCGUAAACUCCAAUGAAUAUGGUCUUUUCACCUUAAACUUCUAUUAGGGGCAUUGUACUUCUUCGUUGCAACCCAUUAGCCUCCUAGCACUUGACCAAAAGUGUUGUCCUCGCGCUUAAAUGUUAUACUUGUAUAGUUAGUGAUUAAAUCUCUAAAUUAUUUAUAUACAUAUGUUUCAUAUGUAAUUAGGAUCAUUGUGUGUGUCUAAGUCUUCACUUGACACCAAGCACUUGUCUGAUCCUUCCGUACGAUAACAGCCCGUUCAAUUCCAGUCACAUACUGCAGGUGAGUUCAUACCCCUUAACUGUGACAACCCGAAAUUUUCCAUUCAAAUCAAACCACAUCAAUCCAAUGGAAGUAGAGCAGUUUCAGUGAAAAUUCAAACUUUUGGAAUAAGUUUGGCAGUUUUAGGGUUUUACACCUAAGGAGUUAUUAGGAGAGUGGGUGCACUAGGAUUUUGUGCAACACUGUAAUUCCAUUACUCUAGGUCAUUAGAAUCCAUUCCGAGAAUAGAAAUAUUUUCUGCCAAAAAUCUCUGGACUAUAAAUAGAAUUCUGAACCAAAUUGGUUCAUUAUUUGAUUUCCA
rnacentral:lncRNA from 1 species